rnacentral:rRNA from 2 species
CCUACGGGAGGCAGCAGCUAAGAAUCUUCCGCAAUGGGCGAAAGCCUGACGGAGCGACGCCGCGUGAACGAAGAAGGCCGUGAGGUUGUAAAGUUCUUUUCGGGAGGGGGAACAACCGUGGCAGGGAAUGGCCGCGGGAUGACGUGAAUCCCGGAAUAAGCCCCGGCUAACUACGUGCCAGCAGCCGCGGUAAU